rnacentral:sRNA from 1 species
GCCAGGCACACUGGCGUACACCUGUAAUUCCAGAGACUGGGGAGGCUGAGGCAGGAGGAUCACAAGUUUGAGGCCAGUCUCAGCAACUUAGUGAGACCCUGUCUCUA